UGCCCGGGGGUCGAGGAUAGCGUCGGGAAACUGACGGUAAUACUCGAUAAUGUUUACGGACCAAAGGUUUACUGCCCCUGGAUGAGCCCAUGCCCCCAUUAGCUAGUUGGCGGUGUAAUAGACCACCAAGGGCGAUGAUGGGUAGCUGGUGUGAGAGCACGACCAGCCCUCACUGGCACUGAGACACUGGCCAGACACCUACGGGGUGGCUGCAGUCGAGAAUCUUCGGCAAUGGACGAAAGUCUGACCGAGCGACGCCGCGUGCGGGACGAAGGCCUUCGGGUUGUAAACCGCUGUCGAGGGGGAUUAAGGGCAACUUGAAAGAACCCUGGAGGAAGGAGAGGCUAAGCUCGUGCCAGCAGCCGCGGUAAGACGAGCUCUCCAAACGUUAUUCGGUAUCACUGGGCUUAAAGAGUUCGUAGGCGGCUUUGCAGGUGGGGUGUGAAAGCCCUCGGCUCAACCGAGGAAUUGCGCCCCAAACCGUAAGGCUUGAGGGAUAUAGGGGU
rnacentral:rRNA from 1 species